AGUCGCGGGAGAAGCUACCCUUCGGGGUAGCGGAGACCGGCGGAUGGGUGAGUAACGCGUAGGUAAUCUGCCUUCAGGACGGGGAUAACCCACCGAAAGGUGAGCUAAUACCGGAUGAUGCAGCGGGGCCGCAUGGCCACAGUUGUUAAAUUCUUCGGGAGCCUGGAGAUGAACCUGCGUGCCAUUAGCUAGUUGGUAGGGUCAAAGCCUACCAAGGCCAUGAUGGCUAGGGGGUCUGAGAGGAUGAUCCCCCACACUGGGACUGAGACACGGCCCAGACUCCUACGGGAGGCAGCAGUGAGGAAUCUUGCGCAAUGGGGGCAACCCUGACGCAGCCACGCCGCGUGCUGGAAGACGGCCCUAUGGGUUGUAAACAGCUUUUACUGGGGAAGAACCUGGACCUUUCGAGGACCACUGACGGUACCCAGUGAAUAAGCACCGGCUAACUCCGUGCCAGC
rnacentral:rRNA from 1 species